GUAGAGCAACGGUAUCGUAAACCGUAGGUUGUGGGUUCGAUUCCCACCUUCGGCU
rnacentral:tRNA from 1 species